CCGCUUCUGGUACACAGUCUUUACUCCUACCGGGGCCAAAAUGACAAUCUUCACACACCUGCCCUCCUGUGUCCCUACUGCACAGAGAAGAAUGCUUUCCUCCUGAGGAGGAAGAGUUGGUACUUUCCUGGAGUCUGCUGGGGAAACUUAAAUAGGGGAAACACCCGUGGAACUGGGGUAAGGGAAUGCAUGGGGCAAAGAGCUGUGGCUUUUUGGCAUUUCAAAUCUGUUUUGAUCUGCCUUCCUCUUUUUGUUAGGGAUUUCUUGGUUGUAAGAAGCAGAAACAUAAAUAGCAAAACCAAAAAAUUUGAGAAAUGUUCAGUUGACACAUACUGACUGCAUAUACAGUUCUGCUUCAUAAAGGAUUGGGACCACAAUUCUGAGGUGCUGUAUUACUGUGGUCAUCAUGGUGUCUUGU
rnacentral:lncRNA from 1 species